AAUGAACGUUGGCGGCAUGGAUUAGGCAUGCAAGUCGAGCGCGAAACGUAGCAAUACGUGGAGAGCGGCGAAAGGGAGAGGAAUAUGUGGGAACCUACCUUCGGGCCUGGAAUAGCGGCGGGAAACUGCCGGUAAUGCCAGAUAACGUCCCCGGACCAAAGGUGUGAUUCCGCCUGGAGAUGGGCCCACAUCCUAUCAGCUUGUUGGUGAGGUAACGGCUCACCAAGGCUAAGACGGGUAUGGGGUGUGAGAGCAUGCCCCCACUCACUGGGACUGAGACACUGCCCAGACACCUACGGGUGGCUGCAGUCGAGAAUCUUCGGCAAUGAGCGCAAGCUUGACCGAGCGAUGCCGCGUGCGGGAUGAAGGCCCUCGGGUUGUAAACCGCUGUCGUAGGGGAAUAAAGGUCGGUGGGUUCUCCCAUCGAUUUGAAUGAUCCUAGGAGGAAGGACGGGCUAAGUUCGUGCCAGCAGCCGCGGUAAAAC
rnacentral:rRNA from 1 species